CAACCCUAGGUGUGCCGCCGCCACCAUGGUCUUCAUCUCGCAGCCCCUCAACCGCCCCGUCGGAGCGGCGCCUCCAUCUAUGCCUAGUCGCCGCUGUUCUCCUUAUCAUGUCUUCCCAAAAGGUGCAGCAGGGAGCAUCUUUUUCUCGAGCCGGCGACAAUCUCUAUCCCCAAAUUAGUGGCGCACUACAUCCCUAAAGUACAAGUCCGAUUUUGAAGCCAUAUCUAGAGUCCUCAGGCGCGCCGUCCCCAGAUCCAGCACGUCGAGCAACUAGCCGGAGAUCCUUUGUAGAUGUCAACAGAAGGUGUCAAGGUGAUCAGUAUAUUAGAGACUUCAAGUGAUCUGAACCGGAAGUUGUCAAACUUUAGUACCUGAAUUUGGUUGAUCCGGAUGAGAAUACUAGAUGGUUGAUACAAACCGGAGCGACUGUUUGUCUAUUCAACGGACAAAACCGAUCCGAUGUGGUUUGAAGGAAGUAAUCAAUCUUCAGUUUCUGGUUGACUCAUGGUGGAUGAUGUAUGCCACUUGCUGGUGACGCUUAAGGCAGCAGGUGGCGUUCAUACUGGUUGUAAUCAAUUGUUUUGGGUAAAUCUUGGAGACUGAUUCUGGCAUUUUGAUUUUGGGAAUGUUUUAGUCUUGAAUCUCAGAUGGCCAUUGGACAGGUUAUUACUAGCGCAUUUGGGGAAUUCUUAAGUUUCCAACCCCCGGUGGAUAGCGGCUGCUAAUUUUGUUAUAAAAUUCUCUAUUUGUUGAUUUGAUUUGGUUUUCCAUCAUGCUCCAAGUUAGAUGGAUUUGUGCAGAUUCUCUAAAGUAGAGGAUUGGUCAAGGCAGAUGAUUACCAACGCUAGAGUGCCAGUUGUGAUGAUUUUUUAUAUCUUGGGAGUGGCUUCUCUUGUAGUGUACACAUCCAUAUAGAAAAACAGGGAAGUUAGCAUAACAUUGUUGGAUCUAUGCAAUGAAAAUAUAUCCAUUAGUUAUUUUUUGUAUAGUAAGUUAUAUUGUAGUUUGGUUUGCACAAAGUUUUGAAUUAAAAAUCUGUACUAAUAUGAAGGUAAAUUUUCUAAUAAUAACUCACGUGUUUUCGAACAAGGCACUCUACUGGCAGUGAAAUUUAAAAGCCAUGAAGUUGUUGAAAUCAGGUACCGCAAUGGUCUUUUAUUUUCCAGCCAACAGGUAAUAAAAUCAACCAUGAAAAUCUGAAGUGCUCUGUUCUUAGAGUUCCAUGGCUUAAGCGGAGAACGUCUGCAGCAGAAAACUUAUUUGGAAAAUGUUGUUUUUGAAAUGUUUAUUGGGGGAAUCUCCCAAAUAGAACUGUAUUAGCUGAAUUAUGUUGCUUAACUUUUUGAUCCAGUUUUUUCAUUAAGAAAAGGUAGCCCGUUGCAUGUAGCUCCCGCUUGCACAGGGUCCGGGGAAGGGUCUGACCACUUUGGGUCUAUAGUAUGCAACCUUUCCCUACACAUUUCUGUAAGAGGCUGUUUGAGACUUGGAACCCAUGACGU